GCCAACAUAGUUUUGAUCAAAACACUAAGUUGUGGGCCUAGUAACAAGGAAACA
rnacentral:tRNA from 1 species